AACCAUAGAAACCUGCGGAGUACCUGCGGAAGGAUCAUUACAGAGUUGCAAAACUCCCUAAACCAUUGUGAACGUUACCUAAACCGUUGCUUCGGCGGGCGGCCCGGGUCCUUCCCGGCGCCCAUCGGCCCUCGCGGGCGCCCGCCGGAGGUAAACCAAACUAUUGCAUUGUAUGGUCUCUCUGAGUCUUCUGUACUGAAUAAGUCAAAACUUUCAACAACGGAUCUCAGAUCGGAAGAG
rnacentral:misc_RNA from 1 species